ACACGGGAAAGGAGGUGGUCCGAGACAUGAUUUCUCUACGGACGCGUGAGGUGGCUGCUCGCUAGCAGCGCUCCCUCGUAGGACGUCGCUGCCGGCAAUCCACGGCAGCCACCCGACCCCCAGGUGGUCCGGACCCGUCCGCCGGACCCGCUCGUCGGGGCAGUCUCACUGCUCCGCGGGCACGCCUGGGGGUCGCUC
rnacentral:sRNA from 1 species